rnacentral:lncRNA from 1 species
CCCGGGAGAAGUGCUCACCGAUAUCCGUGCGCUUGCGGAUCAAUUCCUUAUUGUGUUCCCAAAUAUCAACAAGCAUUUCUGGCGCCGUUGCCGGGGAGAAAGACGGUUUGCUGAGAUAACUUUGAGUCUUACUACUAGCUUGUAUCUAUACUUUUAUCUUUUCAUAUCUUUUAUAUUCUUUAUUUAUUUUCUUUACUCUUACCU